UGCUCGAGUGGCGAACGGGUGAGUAACACGUGAGUAACCUGCCCUUGACUUUGGGAUAACUUCAGGAAACUGGGGCUAAUACCGGAUAGGAGCUCCUGCUGCAUGGUGGGGGUUGGAAAGUUUCGGCGGUUGGGGAUGGACUCGCGGCUUAUCAGCUUGUUGGUGGGGUAGUGGCCUACCAAGGCGGCGACGGGUAGCCGGCCUGAGAGGGUGACCGGCCACAUUGGGACUGAGAUACGGCCCAG
rnacentral:rRNA from 1 species